rnacentral:rRNA from 1 species
CGGUGAAUACGUUCCCGGGCCUUGUACACACCGCCCGUCAAGCCAUGGAAGUCAGGGAGACCUGAAGGCGGUAACCGUCAAAGGAGCCGCUUAGGGUAAAACUGGUAACUGGGGCU